GUGACACCCAUGGUGCACUGUGAGCAGGUAUACAGGCCCACAGAGCAUGCAGAUAAUUAUCUGUGACACCCAUUGUACACUGUGAGCAGGAAUACAGGCCAACAGAGCAUGCAGAUAAUUAUCUGUGACACCCAUGGUGCACUGUGAGCAGGUAUACAGGCCCACAGAGCAUGCAGAUAAUUAUCUGUGACACCCAUUGUACACUGUGAGCAGGUAUACAGGCCAACAGAGCAUGCAGAUAAUUAUCUGUGACACCCAUGGUGCACUGUGAGCAGGUAUACAGGCCAACAGAGCAUGCAGAUAAUUAUCUGUGACACCCAUUGUACACUGUGAGCAGGUAUACAGGCCCACAGAGCAUGCAGAUAAUUAUCUGUGACACCCAUUGUACACUGUGAGCAGGUAUACAGGCCAACAGAGCAUGCAGAUAAUUAUAUGUGACACCCAUUGCACACUGUGAGCAGGUAUACAGGCCCACAGAGCAUGCAGAUAAUUAUCUGUGACACCCAUGGUGCACUGUGAGCAGGUAUACAGGCCAACAGAGCAUGCAGAUAAUUAUAUGUGACACCCAUUGCACACUGUGAGCAGGUAUACAGGCCCACAGAGCAUGCAGAUAAUUAUCUGUGACACCCAUGGUGCACUGUGAGCAGGUAUACAGGCCAACAGACCAUGCAGAUAAUUAUCUGUGACACCCAUGGUGCACUGUGAGCAGGUAUACAGGCCCACAGAGCAUGCAGAUAAUUACCUGUGACACCCAUGGUGCACUGUGAGCAGGUAUACAGGCCCACAGAGCAUGCAGAUAAUUAUCUGUGACACCCAUGGUGCACUGUGAGCAGGUAUACAGGCCAACAGAGCAUGCAGAUAAUUAUCUGUGACACCCAUUGUACACUGUGAGCAGGUAUACAGGCCCACAGAGCAUGCAGAUAAUUAUCUGUGACACCCAUUGUACACUGUGAGCAGGUAUACAGGCCAACAGAGCAUGCAGAUAAUUAUAUGUGACACC